rnacentral:rRNA from 1 species
UGAGGAAUAUUGGGCAAUGCCCGCAAGGGUGACCCAGCAACGCCGCGUGGAGGAUGAAUGUCGUAAGAUUGUAAACUCCUGUUAGAGGGGAAGAAUAGUACCGGUUGGACCGGUAUAUGACUGUACCCUCAGAGAAAGCCCCGGCUAACUACGUGCCAGCAGCCGCGGUAAUACGUAGGGGGCAAGCGUUGUCCGGAUUUACUGGGUGUAAAGGGCGCGCAGGCGGGAUAAAAAGUCAGUGGUGAAAUCCUACAGCUUAACUGUAGAACUGCCUUUGAUACUUUUAUUCUUGAGUUCGGGAGAGAGAGACGGAAUUCCAGGUGUAGUGGUGAAAUACGUAGAUAUCUGGAAGAACACCAGUUGCGAAGGCGGUCUCUUGGUCCGACACUGACGCUGAGGCGCGAAAGCGUGGAGAGCAAAC